UACGUAGGGUGCAAGCGUUGUCCGGAAUUAUUGGGCGUAAAGCGCGCGCAGGCGGCACAUUAAGUAAGGUGUGAAAUCUCCAGGCUCAACCUGGAGGGGUCAUUCGAUACUGCCGUGACUAGAGGUCGGUAGGGGAGUGUGGAAUUCCUGGUGGAGCGGUGAAAUGCGCAGAUAUCAGGAGGAACACCCGUAGCGAAGGCGGCACUCUGGGCCGAUACUGACACUGAGGAGCGAAAGCGUGGGGAGCGAACAGG
rnacentral:rRNA from 1 species